GUGAUCUACCCAUGUCCAGGAUGAAGGUAAGGUAAUACUUACUGGAGGUCCGAACCCACGCACGUUGAAAAGUGCGGGGAUGAGGUGUGGGUAGCGGAGAAAUUCCAAUCGAACUUGGAGAUAGCUGGUUCUCUCCGAAAUAGCUUUAGGGCUAGCCUCGAGGUAAAGAGUCAUGGAGGUAGAGCACUGUUUGGACUAGGGGCCCUUCUCGGGUUACCGAAUUCAGAUAAACUCCGAAUGCCAUGUACUUAUACUCGGGAGUCAGACUGCGAGUGAUAAGAUCCGUAGUCGAAAGGGAAACAGCCCAGACCACCAGUUAAGGUCCCCAAAUAUAUGUUAAGUGGAAAAGGAUGUGGGGUUGCUUAGACAACCAGGAUGUUGGCUUAGAAGCAGCCACCAUUGAAAGAGUGCGUAAUAGCUCACUGGUCGAGUGACCCCGCGCCGAAAAUGUACCGGGGCUAAACAUAUUACCGAAACUGUGGAUGAACCUCUUUAGAGGUUCGUGGUAGGAGAGCGUUCUAAGGGCGGUGAAGUCAGACCGGAAGGACUGGUGGAGCGCUUAGAAGUGAGAAUGCCGGUAUGAGUAGCGAAAGAAGGGUGAGAAUCCCUUCCACCGAAUAUCUAAGGUUUCCUGAGGAAGGCUCGUCCGCUCAGGGUUAGUCGGGACCUAAGCCGAGGCCGAUAGGCGUAGGCGAUGGACAACAGGUAGAGAUUCCUGUACCAGUGCUAAUUGUUUAACCGAUGGGGUGACACAGAAGGAUAGGGAAUCGCACGAAUGGAAAUGUGCGUCCAAGCAGUGAGUGUGAGAAGUAGGCAAAUCCGCUUCUCGCGAAGCAUGAGCUGUGAUGGGGAAGGAAAUUAAGUACGGAAGUUCCUGAUUUCACGCUGUCAAGAAAAGCCUCUAGGAAGAGUAGUACUGCCCGUACCGCAAACCGACACAGGUAGAUGAGGAGAGAAUCCUAAGGUGAGCGAGAGAACUCUCGUUAAGGAACUCGGCAAAAUGACCCCGUAACUUCGGGAGAAGGGGUGCUCUAUUAGGGUGCAAGCCCGAGAGAGCCGCAGUGAAUAGGCCCAGGCGACUGUUUAGCAAAAACACAGGUCUCUGCAAAACCGUAAGGUGACGUAUAGGGGCUGACGCCUGCCCGGUGCUGGAAGGUUAAGAGGAGUGCUUAGCUUCGGCGAAGGUACGAAUUGAAGCCCCAGUAAACGGCGGCCGUAACUAUAACGGUCCUAAGGUAGCGAAAUUCCUUGUCGGGUAAGUUCCGACCCGCACGAAAGGCGCAACGAUCUGGGCACUGUCUCAACGAGAGACUCGGUGAAAUUAUAGUACCUGUGAAGAUGCAGGUUACCCGCGACAGGACGGAAAGACCCCGUGGAGCUUUACUGCAACCUGAUAUGGAAUGUUUGUACCGCUUGUACAGGAUAGGUAGGAGCCGAAGAGACGUGUGCGCUAGCAUACGAGGAGGCAAUGGUGGGAUACUACCCUGGCUGUAUGACCAUUCUAACCCGCCACGCUUAGCGCGUGGGGAGACAGUGUCAGGUGGGCAGUUUGACUGGGGCGGUCGCCUCCUAAAGAGUAACGGAGGCGCCCAAAGGUUCCCUCAGAAUGGAUGGAAAUCAUUCGCAGAGUGUAAAGGCACAAGGGAGCUUGACUGCGAGACUGACAAGUCGAGCAGGGACGAAAGUCGGGCUUAGUGAUCCGGUGGUUCCGCAUGGAAGGGCCAUCGCUCAACGGAUAAAAGCUACCCCGGGGAUAACAGGCUUAUCUCCCCCAAGAGUCCACAUCGACGGGGAGGUUUGGCACCUCGAUGUCGGCUCGUCGCAUCCUGGGGCUGUAGUCGGUCCCAAGGGUUGGGCUGUUCGCCCAUUAAAGCGGCACGCGAGCUGGGUUCAGAACGUCGUGAGACAGUUCGGUCCCUAUCCGUCGCGGGCGCAGGAAAUUUGAGAGGAGCUGUCCUUAGUACGAGAGGACCGGGAUGGACACACCGCUGGUGUACCAGUUGUUCCGCCAGGAGCAUCGCUGGGUAGCUAUGUGUGGCAGGGAUAAACGCUGAAAGCAUCUAAGCGUGAAGCCCCCCUCAAGAUGAGAUUUCCCAUUUCUUCGGAAAGUAAGAUCCCUGAAAGAUGAUCAGGUAGAUAGGUUUGGAGUGGAAGUGUAGCGAUACAUGGAGCGGACAAAUACUAAUCGAUCGAGGACUUAACCAAAA
rnacentral:rRNA from 1 species